rnacentral:rRNA from 1 species
UACGUAGGGUGCAAGCGUUUGUCCGGAAUUAUUGGGCGUAAAGAGCUCGUAGGCGGUUUGUUGCGUCGGCUGUGAAAUCCCGAGGCUCAACCUCGGGUCUGCAGUCGAUACGAGCAAACUAGAGUGUUGCAGGGGAGACUGGAAUUCCUGGUGUAGCGGUGGAAUGCGCAGAUAUCAGGAGGAACACCGGUGGCGAAGGCGGUUCUCUGGGCAUGACCUGACGCUGGAGGAGCGAAAGCCAUGGGGAGCGAACAGG